AUGGCCGGUGAAGAAGACGGCGGCAGCGCGGCGACCCAAGGUACUGCUGUUCCUGAUGCUGAUGCUGAAGCAACGGCGGCCCAGGAAAGGGCGCUCGUGAACGUGAUGCCGACGGAGGAGGUGGAGUACCUCCUCUCCCGCGACCACAGCAAGCCUGUCCCCCGCCGGGACGACGACGACCACAACCCGCACAAGGAUGAGUGGAACGACGCCGCCGACUUCUUCGACGACCUGAGUAGGCAGCUCGCCGCCGAGCAGGCCGUGCUCCGGGCCGAGUACAUCGCCAAGGGCUACAUCGACCUCGGCCACGACCAGGUGGCCAGGAGAUCGCAGCUCAGUCACCAGGUGUAUCUCGAGGCCAAAGCCGCCGCCGCCGCCGCCGAUCACCAUGGUGAUUUCGUUGAAAAGCUCAACCGUGACAAGGAGGACGAUGACGAGUGA
rnacentral:rRNA from 1 species